rnacentral:rRNA from 1 species
AUGCAAGUCGAGCGGACAGAAGGGAGCUUGCUCCCGGAUGUUAGCGGCGGACGGGUGAGUAACACGUGGGUAACCUGCCUGUAAGACUGGGAUAACUCCGGGAAACCGGAGCUAAUACCGGAUAGUUCCUUGAACCGCAUGGUUCAAGGAUGAAAGACGGUUUCGGCUGUCACUUACAGAUGGACCCGCGGCGCAUUAGCUAGUUGGUGAGGUAACGGCUCACCAAGGCGACGAUGCGUAGCCGACCUGAGAGGGUGAUCGGCCACACUGGGACUGAGACACGGCCCAGACUCCUACGGGAGGCAGCAGUAGGGAAUCUUCCGCAAUGGACGAAAGUCUGACGGAGCAACGCCGCGUGAGUGAUGAAGGUUUUCGGAUCGUAAAGCUCUGUUGUUAGGGAAGAACAAGUGCAAGAGUAACUGCUUGCACCUUGACGGUACCUAACCAGAAAGCCACGGCUAACUACGUGCCAGCAGCCGCGGUAAUACGUAGGUGGCAAGCGUUGUCCGGAAUUAUUGGGCGUAAAGGGCUCGCAGGCGGUUUCUUAAGUCUGAUGUGAAAGCCCCCGGCUCAACCGGGGAGGGUCAUUGGAAACUGGGAAACUUGAGUGCAGA